GCCAUUUUGAGUUGCUACUGAGGAAUCAGCUAGUGAAGCAGGUAUGUAUUGAGGCUGAAUAAUAGGUUGACUGGGUGCCACUCACAUUUCUGGCAGGUCCUCUUUCCAACUCUAAUGAGCCCUGGUACUUCAAAGCAUUGCCGUGCGUUACUGCCACAAUGCUCCGCACGGCAUACCAGGCUCACAACAGCUGGAGAGAGAAUAUUUCGGAAACAGAAGAGAGCGAGUGCUGGGUCCCGACUGCCACUUCUACAAUGUGAGUGCUACACAGUCAGAGUACACACAGCCACUGGAUCACAAAGGAG